UCCUGGUUCUGACCUUCUCGCCCUGACUACUGUUGGGAGAAAUACCCCUAAGGCCGCUCGGGGAGACGGGCUGUCGCCCUCGAUCCGGAGGACGAAUCAGAGGAGGAAAUCCCCAACCAUUAUCCUCAAGAAUCUGUCACUAAUAUUAUUUUUACACCUGGGUGUAAAUAAUAAAUCUUUUGAAUCUUA